rnacentral:rRNA from 1 species
UACGUAGGGUCCGAGCGUUGUCCGGAAUUAUUGGGCGUAAAGAGCUCGUAGGCGGUUUGUCGCGUCUGCUGUGAAAUCCCGAGGCUCAACCUCGGGCCUGCAGUGGGUACGGGCAGACUGGAGUGCGGUAGGGGAGACUGGAAUUCCUGGUGUAGCGGUGAAAUGCGCAGAUAUCAGGAGGAACACCGGUGGCGAAGGCGGCCUGCUGGGCUGUUGCUGACGCUGAGGCGCGACAGCGUGGGGAGCAAACAGG